rnacentral:rRNA from 1 species
AGGACUAACGCUGGCGGCGUGCCUAACACAUGCAAGUCGAACGAAGUAGCAAUACUUAGUGGCAGACGGGUGAGUAACACGUAGUCAACCUGCCCUUCAAUGGGGGAUAACUAGCCGAAAGGUUAGCUAAUACCGCAUACGAUCUCUGAGUGGCAUCACUCGGCGAUGAAAGGAGUAAUCCGUUGAAGGAGGGGACUGCGUCCCAUUAGUUAGUUGGUGGGGUAAUGGCCUACCAAGACUCCGAUGGGUAGCUGGCUUGAGAGAGCGACCAGCCACACUGGAACUGAGACACGGUCCAGACUCCUACGGGAGGCAGCAGUGAGGAAUUUUUCCGCAAUGGGGGAAACCCUGACGGAGCGACGCCGCGUGUGGGAAGAAGGCCUUCGGGUCGUAACCACUGUCGAGGGGGACGAUAUUGACGGUACCCCUGGAGGAAGCCCGGCUAACUACGUGCCAGCAGCCGC